UACAGAGGGUGCAAGCGUUAAUCGGAAUUACUGGGCGUAAAGGGCGCGUAGGCGGCCUGUUAAGUCGAACGUGAAAUCCCCGGGCUCAACCCGGGAACUGCGUCCGAUACUGGCAGGCUUGAAUCCGGGAGAGGGAUGCGGAAUUCCAGGUGUAGCGGUGAAAUGCGUAGAUAUCUGGAGGAACACCGGUGGCGAAGGCGGCAUCCUGGACCGGUAUUGACGCUGAGGCGCGAAAGCCAGGGGGAGCAAAACGGGG
rnacentral:rRNA from 1 species